rnacentral:rRNA from 1 species
UGGGGAAUAUUGCACAAUGGGCGAAAGCCUGAUGCAGCGACGCCGCGUGCGGGAUGAAGGCCUUCGGGUUGUAAACCGCUUUUGAUUGGGAGCAAGCGAGAGUGAGUGUACCUUUCGAAUAAGCACCGGCUAACUACGUGCCAGCAGCCGCGGUAAUACGUAGGGUGCAAGCGUUAUCCGGAAUUAUUGGGCGUAAAGAGCUCGUAGGCGGUUUGUCGCGUCUGGUGUGAAAGUCCAUCGCUUAACGGUGGAUCUGCGCCGGGUACGGGCAGGCUAGAGUGCGACAGGGGAGACUGGAAUUCCCGGUGUAACGGUGGAAUGUGUAGAUAUCGGGAAGAACACCAAUGGCGAAGGCAGGUCUCUGGGUCGUCACUGACGCUGAGGAGCGAAAGCGUGGGGAGCGAACAGGAUUAGAUACCCUGGUAGUCCACGCCGUAAACGGUGGAUGCUGGAUGUGGGGCCCCAUUCCACGGGUUCCGUGUCGGAGCUAACGCGUUAAGCAUCCCGCCUGGGGAGUACGGCCGCAAGGCUAAAACUCUAAAGUGAAUUGAC